rnacentral:lncRNA from 1 species
GGUGCAUAAAGUGGAGAGAUCCGGUUCGGAAGGUUGAGGAAUUCGAGGAACCUGCAGGAGAAUCGGGCCAAGGUUGUUCAGAUUUAAACGGUCGGUUACCAAAUUGGGAGAAUUAAUUGCGAAAAGGCAUCAUUACUAUAGAGAAUUUUGGAGCAUUAAUGAUUUUAUACUCUGAAAUUGGGGGGCAUGUGUUGACACCGUUUUUGGACACAUACCUAGGGACCUGUAGAGUAUAGAUCGGCAGGUGGAGCAACAGUAAUUGGUUUGCAGA